rnacentral:rRNA from 1 species
AGCGAACGCUGGCGGCAGGCCUAACACAUGCAAGUCGAACGAACCUUUCGGGGUUAGUGGCGGACGGGUGAGUAACACGUGGGAACGUGCCUUGAGGUUCGGAAUAACUCAGGGAAACUUGUGCUAAUACCGAAUGUGCCCUUCGGGGGAAAGAUUAAUCGCCUUUAGAGCGGCCCGCGUCUGAUUAGCUAGUUGGUUGAGGUAAUGGCUCACCAAGGCGACGGUCAGUAGCGGGUCUGAGAGGAUGAGCCGCCACAUUGGGACUGAGACACGGCCCAAAAUCCUUCGGGAGGCCCGAAUGGGGGAUCCUGCCGAAUUGGGGGAAGCCUGACGCAGCCAUGCCGCGUGAAUGAUGAAGGUCUUAGGAUUGUAAAAUUCUUUCACCGGGGACGAUAAUGACGGUACCCGGAGAAGAAGCCCCGGCUAACUUCGUG